UACGAAGGGGGCUAGCGUUGCUCGGAAUGACUGGGCGUAAAGGGCGCGUAGGCGGUUUGUACAGUCAGAUGUGAAGUUCCUGGGCUCAACCUGGGGGCUGCAUUUGAUACGUAUGGACUGGAGUGAGGAAGAGGGUCGUGGAAUUCCCAGUGUAGAGGUGAAAUUCGUAGAUAUUGGGAAGAACACCGGUGGCGAAGGCGGCGACCUGGUCCUUUACUGACGCUGAGGCGCGAAAGCGUGGGGAGCAAACAGG
rnacentral:rRNA from 1 species